UUUUUAAUAAGUAAACAUGAUUAAAAAAAAUGACAAUAAAAUAUAAAAAAAUAUAAAUAAAUACUUAAAACUCUAACAUCAGUUGAUAAUACCUAAUCCUAAUUUGAAUAACGAACAAUAUNNNNNNNNNNNNNNNNNNAGCACAAAAAAGACGGGCACCUGCUGUAAAAUAAGAAAAGAAGAUUAUCUCCAUGUAGGCACAAAAAAGGAUAGCAUCAAAAUACAAAAAUAUACUAUAUAAUAUUAAACUUGAAAAAAAAAACAUGGAAAGAAGAAAAUAGAACAACGAAAAAGUUGAAGGGAAUGAGAGUGAAAUCACCCAAAAAAAUAAUAGAGAUAAAAGAUUGCAAAAAGUAUAAUUUUGAAUUGCAAUAGUGUGUGAAAUCGGUUGCAAAUCACAGCUAUUUAUAUUAAUAGAAUGAAGAUCGAAAUUAUAAAUGUCAUUUAAUAGCAAUUAUCUAAUUGACAAAUUAUGGGACAAAAUGACUUUGUUU
rnacentral:lncRNA from 1 species